GCCAGGUGUGGUGACUCACACCUGUAAUCCCAGCACUUUGGGAGGCUGAGGUGGGUGGAUCACCUGAGGUCAGGAGUUCAAGACCAGCCUGGCCAACAUGGUGAAACCCCAUCUCUA
rnacentral:SRP_RNA from 2 species